UAUGUGGAUUAAUUGAUGGUUUUUCAUGAGGUAAAGGUGGAUCCAUGUAGUGGAUGUGAAUCACGGAAUAGGUAUUCAGGGAGCCACCCAGCCUCCUCACCGCUCGAGAUUCCUGGCCGUCGAUCAGUUUUUAGAUCUGUUCUAGACCGUUCGAUCUCGCCCUCAGAUGAUAUCGGCCGUCGGAUCAAGAAACAACACUGACAAUGAAUAGUAGGUCUCAUUCGAUUUUUCUUACCGACUUUUCUUACUCCGGAAUUACGGUCUUGCCUCGCUGGCCUGUGGGGUUCAUCCCUGGUGGGCCGCGGCUGUCAGCGACAGUGGAAGUUGGUCUGGCAUGUGCUUGCGUAAAUGGGCGCAGGGGUCGUGCCACCGCCUGAAAUUUCGGUUCCCCGCUGAGGGCAUUUAUGGGAUUUCAUGUAGCCCCUUGCCACGUGGUUUCCCCCAAUUCGUUGCUUCAUCCCAAUCGCAAGAGACCUAGGUCAUCUCUCUCUCCUCCCCCGUCUCUCUCUCCCUCGCAUCUCUCUCGCGCCGCCGUCGACAUGAGAGCGCAGCGCACUCCGGCGUUCUUCCUCCUUCGUCCCCCCUUUUUGCACCCCAAGCCACAACCUCUCUUGUGUGCCUCCUUUCUCCUCCCCAUCGGGACCGGGCAGGGGAGGAGCAGCGCGGGCCACGGAGACGACGAGGUGGCCGAGCUGCCCGUGGCGCCGUCGCCGUACCUCACGACCCAACAGGAGGUGUGUCGGCCGCAAAGAUGGUAGAGGUCUCCUCCACUCACUCUCUCGCCGCCGCAGGAGGAGUGCGCGCAGGGGGGUGGCGGGUCAAGGUCCGCUCGGCGGCGCCGCCCGCUGAACGGCGGAUCCAUGCGCACCCUCUCCGACGACCUCCCGGGCACACACCCGCUGGAAACGGCGAGGACCACACACUCCGUCCACCACCGGCCACCAGGAGUAGCAGGACCACCACUGUUGCCUGUCCUCUUUGAUUCGAGAUCCACGCUGCUCCACUUCGUCCAGGUGGGGUUCUCUGUUUUGUGCAAAGUGCAGACUGAGAUGGUUUCUUGAAGCAACCAAUCAUUACAACAUAAUACUGCUGCUACCGGUCAUUAAUAUGAAUUUGGUAUCUAAUUGAUUUGUGGUGGCUGGCAAUUAUUUAGGCUUCAGGUUAGUAAGAAUCCCCCCCCCCCAAUCAAAUAUAUGCUAUUUUCCUCCAUUUUGUUCCCAUCUGAUAUCCAGUAGAUGUGAAUCUUAUUCCUUUUCCGUGAAAAGCUACAAUUUUUUUACUGGCACUACUUUACUAUCUUCCAAGGUGUGCUUCCAUUUAAAUUUUGCAGGUCCUUUCAAUCAUUCAUAUUGCCUCUUGAUAUGUUUUACCGGAAGGGAAAUGCAUCCUCUGCUUGAACUUAUGAGCUUUCUGUGUUUAUUUAUUUAUUUCUUGAGUUCAUGCAUUCCUUAGGUUACGCCAUGUUAAUAAAAGCCCAUUAUGUGAUCAGGUAUUCAUACUUGGACCAUAUGACAAUCCUACCAUAGCCACUGCAGCUUGAUGACUGUGUAGUUGCUAGGUGCAGAGGGUGUUGCUAAUAAAUGGCCAUUACUUGAUUAGGUGUUAAUGCUCUACUCAAAUUGCACUGAUAUUGAUCUUAAGAUGUCAAGCUUUUUUAUUAAGUGGUCUUCCUCGACUAAAAUAUCACGGUCUUUCUCUUCUGGUCACUCGCAACGGAUGUUAUGUUUCUUUUUUUGAAGUAUAUUUGGAUGUCUGAAGUUUUUUUCUUGAAUUAUGGCUAUCUUUUAUAGUAGUAAUGCUAAUUUGAGUCAAUAUAUCGGUGUUCCGUACCAUCCUAAAAAUGCGUCUCUGGUCACAGUCAUAGUUCUUAAUUUUCAUUGGAUUCCUAUAUGGUUUCUGAAUAUUUGAUGUUCUGAAUAUUAAGGAAUUACUUAAUUUCUAAAAUAUGUGCAUAUCCUGUUAUCAUCAUUGAGGGAAUCAAUUGGCACAAUUUUAGUGUGUACGUAUAGUUGAUUAAUAUUCAAAAUGUCAUGCUAUGUAACCAUGGGGUUUAGUUUUGCAUCAUGCUUGCCUCUAUAGUUUUGCUUGCUUAAUGGUCCUACUCCAUUGAGUGUUGCUCUUUUACCAAGAGUUAAUUUUCCUUUGGAAGUAUAAAGUUUUAAGCUUCAGAUGUGGUUUAUUAUGUUCCGAUUGGUCCUACUUUCAUACGAUAGAAUGCUGAUAAUUAAUUUUUCAUGCUGAUAGAUGUUGCCCCACCAUUCCAAACAAAAUGUGUAACCAGGCCACCCCUAGGUAUGUUCUUUUUUCAGGUUGGGUAAAAAAGCACUCGACACGAGUCUACCGAGGGCGUCGCCGGCAUAGACACGGUAGACUCGAGGGCAUCGCCAGAAGUCUGCAGGAGGUGGCGAAGCAGACUAGCCGAUGAUGAGAGAUACUAACAGAAAAGGCUGAGACUGGAAAAAGGGAAAGGGAUACGGUGCUCUGGCCAUCGAUUUUAUUGCGAAAGGCAGGGGUUGUCGUGGCCGCGUGAAACGAAAUGUGUAACCAGGCCACCGCUAGGUAUGUUCUUUUUUCAGGUUGGGUAAAAAAGCACUCGACACGAGUCUACCGAGGGCGUCGCCGGCAUAGACACGGUAGACUCGAGGGCAUCGCCAGAAGUCUGCAGGAGGUGCAGCAAAGAGGUCCUAGCGACCAUGGCAGCACAUCCGCGGCUGGUCCACCUCUGGCUGCUUCUCCACCACCAAGCGCCUGCCCCACAUGUGUUUCUUUUCUCCCAGGAGUGGACUGUAGCCAGGGAGAGCGGCCAGAGGAGCAAGGACGGUCAGCCCCUGCCUCCUCUCCUGCACGGCUGCACGUGAUGGGGAUUACGAGCAGCGUACGUGAUUUUGGCAAGUACAGAUGAUAAAGAUUCAUGAUUUGGCUGCGCGCAUGCUUGCUGGCUGGAGGAGUUUGAUUCAUUACUUAAUGGCCUCAAAAUGGAUACAGGAUCUGUUGGAAUCAAGAAGGCGUUAAGGACGACGUCAAAAGCAAAAGGAACUAAGGAAGGGUUCUCGAGGUCUGCUCCUUCUCCACCGGUAGAGAGGAGCCUCCUUCUCAUGAUUCGCCUGUCUGCCCGGGCCCUCCCCGGCUAAAGCUGACGCCAUGGAAGGCCCCUUACCCCUCUUCCUCCUCUCUUCUGUUCCCUCUUUGUUAUAGGCGCAGUCAAUUUUUUUUGUUCUUUCUCUCUUUCCAAUUUAAACAUGAGCAUGCCCGUGCUCUCUUUUUGGUUGUGGUAGCUGUCAUAUCAUGUUGCAAUUUAGUUACAUUUUUUGGUCCCAUGUAUAUCCAAAUCAAAAAACACUUGUGGUGUGGUACAGUUAUAUUGCAAGUCGAAAAAUAUUAUAUGUGUUAACAUCGGAUGGUCCAAGUUGAAAUUCAGUUUGUAUUAUUCAAUAUGCAUUCUAACAAACAUGUUCUGUUUGGCAUCAUACUAUCAUUCAACUUAAAAGAUGCUUAACCGGUUAACCCAA